rnacentral:rRNA from 1 species
GAUGAACGCUAGCUACAGGCUUAACACAUGCAAGUCGAGGGGCAGCACGAAGAUAGCUUGCUAUCUUGGGUGGCGACCGGCGCACGGGUGAGUAACGCGUAUCCAACCUGCCCAUUACUCUGGGAUAGCCUUGCGAAAGUAAGAUUAAUACCUGAUGGUGUUCAAAUUCCGCAUGUUAUUUGAACUAAAGAUUUAUCGGUAACGGAUGGGGAUGCGUGACAUUAGAUAGUAGGCGGGGUAACGGCCCACCUAGUCUACGAUGUCUAGGGGUUCUGAGAGGAAGGUCCCCCACACUGGAACUGAGACACGGUCCAGACUCCUACGGGAGGCAGCAGUGAGGAAUAUUGGUCAAUGGACGAGAGUCUGAACCAGCCAAGUAGCGUGCAGGAAGACGGCCCUCUGGGGUUGUAAACUGCUUUUAGUUGGGAAUAAAAAGNGGGACGUGUCCCUAAUUGUAUGUACCAUCAGAAAAAGGCCGGCUAAUUCCGUG